UACUGAUGAUGUGGACAAUACCAAAAAAGAGCCUUGAAGCACUCCCAAGCAUGAUAUAAAUUCUCAUAUGGCUUUUACUUGAAGCAUACAAUCUCAAUGCUCAAUAU
rfam:Capsicum annuum cultivar Zunla-1 unplaced genomic scaffold scaffold1276, whole genome shotgun sequence